GAUGAACGCUGGCGGCGUGCCUAAUACAUGCAAGUCGAGCGGACAGACGCUGAGCUUGCUCCUCGCACGUUUGCCGCGGACGGGUGAGUAACACGUGGAUACCCUCCCUAUAAGACUGGGAUCACUUCGGGAAACCGGAGCUAAUCCCGGAUAAUAUCUUGAACCGCAUGGUUCAAUGGUAAAAGACGGCUUUUGUGUCACUUCUCGCGGCAUCUGCGCUGGAUGAGCUAGUUGGUAAGGUAACGGCUUACCACGGCUACGAUGCGUAGCCGACCGGAGGGGGUGAUAGGCCACCCGGGAACUGAGACGCGGACCAGACUCCUACGGGAGGCAGCAGUAGGGAAUCUGCCGCAAUGGGCGAAAGCUUGACGGAGCAACGCGGCGUGAGUGAUGGAGGUCUUCGGAUCGUAAAACUGUGUUAUGAGGGAAGAACAAAUGUGUAAGUAACUAUGCACGUCUUGACGGUACCUGAUCAGAAAGCAACGGCUAACUACGUG
rnacentral:rRNA from 1 species